rnacentral:rRNA from 1 species
CCUACGGGGGGCAGCAGUGAGGAAUAUUGGUCAAUGGGAGAGAUCCUGAACCAGCCAAGCCGCGUGAGGGAAGACGGCCCUAUGUGUUGUAAACCUCUUUUGUCGGAGAACAAAACCCGGGACGAGUCCCGGACUGCGUGUAUCCGUAGAAACAGCAUCGGCAAACUCCGGGCCAGCAGCCGCGGUAAUACGGAGGAUGCGAGCGUUAUCCGGAUUUAUUGGGUUAAAGGGGUGCGUAGGCGGUCUGUUAAGUCAGCGGGAAAAUUGCGGGGCUCAACCCCGUCGAGCCGUUGAAACUGGGAGACUUGAGUUGGCGAGAAGUACGCGGAAUGCGCGGUGUAGCGGUGAAAUGCAUAGAUAUCGCGCAGAACUCCGAUUGCGAAGGCAGCGUACCGGCGCCAGACUGACGCUGAGGCACGAAAGCGUGGGGAUCGAACAGGAUUAGAUACCCGUGUAGUC